GAUGAACGCUGGCGGCGUGCCUAAUACAUGCAAGUCGAGCGAACGGACGAUAUUCUUUCUUCUCUGAUGUUAUCGGCGGACGUGUGAGUAACACGUGUAUAACCUACCUAUAAUUCUUGGAUAACUUCGUGAAACCUGUUCUUAUACCGGAUAAUAUUUUGUUCCUCAUGGUUCUUAAGUGAAUUUCGGUCUUUCUUUCUCUUAUAGCUUGUUCCGCUCUGCAUUAGCUAGUUGGUAAGGUAACGGCUUACCAAGGCAACGAUGCAUAGCCGACAUGAGAGGGUGAGCGGCAAAAAUGGAACUGAGACACGGAACAGACACCUACGGGAGGCAGCAGUAGGGAAUAUUCCGCAAUGGGCGAAAGCAUGACGGAGCAAAGCCGAGUGAGAGAUGAAGGACUUCGGAUCGUAAAAAACUGUUAUUAGGGAAGAAAAAAAGUGUAAGUAAAAGUGAAAAGAAUGACGGUAACAAAAAAGAAAGCAACGGCUAACUACGUG
rnacentral:rRNA from 1 species